rnacentral:piRNA from 1 species
UGACAACCCGUUGUGCUGUUGGGAAAC